rnacentral:rRNA from 1 species
AAAAGGCAAGGGGGAAUGGGUUUCCGGGACCUUCGCCUAUUUAACCAAGCCCUCCUUGCUAAGCAGGCUUGGCGACUUAUUCAAUUUCCGGACAGCUUAUGUGCUAGAUUAUUGAAGGCGAAAUAUUAUCCACAUGGCAACCUGGCUGAUACUGCCUUUAUCCAGAACGCGUCACCGUGUUGGCAAGGAAUCUGUCAUGGUCUGGAUCUUCUUAAGAAAGACAUUAUCUGGAGAAUUGGUGAAGGUGAUAAAGUUAAAGUAUGA